AAACACAACACAAAAAACUACAUAGCUCAAUUGAUAGACCAAAACACACAGGACAAGAAACAAAGGAAAGGCAGGAGAACCAGAAAGUGAGUGAUCAAAUGGCAGUCUUAAGCCCUCAUAUAUUGAUAAUCACCCUAAACAUAAAUGGACUGAAUUUUCCAAUAAAAUGACACAGAGCGGCAGGAUGGAUUAAAGAACAAGACUCAACAAUAUGCUGCCUCCAGGAAACACACUUCAGUUCCAACGAGAAACACAGGCUCAGAGUGAAGGGAUGGAAGAUGAUACUCCAAGCUAAUGGCAAACAAAAGAAAGCAGAUGUCACAAUACUUACGUCAGACAAAGUAGACUUCAAGAUAAAACACUGCUCAGUAAAAAAGUGUAUAUAUUUGAACAAAGAAUGAAAAUAGUACCUAUCUCAAAGGGCUGGUAUGAGGAUUAAAUAACUUAUGAUAAGCCUGUGCUUAGAAAAGUAAUCGGGACAUACCACCUGGGGCAAGACGACUGUAAAAAGCCAUGGGACACCUUCUUCAAGCUUCAAGUUCAAGAGAAUGAGAGCCGUCACUCUUCCAGUGGAACACGUGACCUGAUUGAUUAUGUCUUAUUCACACGUCCAGCCCUGAAGCUGUGGUGGCGUCAACUCAUCUUGAAGCACGUGGAUGGGGUUGGAGAGGAGGAUCAUCUGCAGGGAUGCUGCCCUCCGAUAACUACCGUAAGUGGAGAAUGAAAC
rnacentral:lncRNA from 1 species